rnacentral:lncRNA from 1 species
CCAGAAGGCUGGAUUCGUCUACUGGUGUUGCGUCCUCUCCGGAGGCCGGUGUGUCAGGCCAUGAUGCAGGAACAGCAGGAAAACGCUAUGUCUGAGACCUCCUACAACGAAGAGCAGCAAAAAACAGUGCUGGACGUCCUUACUCACUGUCAGGACAUUGAUGGGAAGGCUCUGCUAUUGCUCAAGAGUGACAUGAUGAUAAAGUACAUGGGGCUGAAGCUAGGGACAGCCGUGAAGUUGUGCCACUACAUUGAUAAGCUUAAAGAAGAAAAAUUCUUUAACAAUUAAAUACAUGUUUGUGUAAGUUUAGCUUGGAUUUCAUUCAGGGAGACAAGUGCCAUCUUGGUGUAAAAUCAUUUUUUUGCCCUUAGAAGUUUUUGCUGUGUAGAAGGUUCCUCUAAAAAUAUGUUCUAUCCAGAAUUGCAGAUCUAUGUUGCAGUCUGGUCUACUAUUAUAGAAGCCAUUUAACAUGUUACUAUUGGCAUAUUCAGACUGGGAGUUUGUUCUUCAUAUCAGUUUAUUAUUUUCAUUUUAUAGUUUACGAAUGUACUUCAUACAGGAAACAGAAACACCUCUAAUUUUUGUUCAUCUUUAUCUAUAGAACCAAAAUAGCUGAAUCCCAAAGAGAAAAUACUAGAGAUUGACAAGUUCUCUAAUAAAAUCCAUGGGUUUUUCUUACA